AUAUACUCUCAAAUGAUUUUAAGUACAAAUGAGAGAUGUUAGAGCAUGGUAUACUCUAAAAACUAUUUGCAUAUAAUUGUAAAUUUUUAUUAGAUUAUUUUGUAUGGAUUUUUUCCUUGCCAUGAUCACAAAUAAUGUAAGGUAUGUGUCACACAUCAGCCAUAGAUCCAAAAAUUGGUACUACAAGGGUUUAUCCUAGUGGAUGGUAUCCAAAGAAAUGAUUGGAUAAACUUAAGUACUCGAAAUUUCAUCACAGUUAUAGAUGGGGUUAUGCAUUGUACUUAUAAAAUUGUUAUGAUGAAUAAUAAAAGCAUGAAGUUCCACCUUCUUUCAGGUU
rnacentral:lncRNA from 1 species